GAUGAACGCUGGCGGCGUGCCUAAUACAUGCAAGUCGAGCGAACAGACGAGGAGCUUGCUCCUCUGACGUUAGCGGCGGAAGGGUGAGUAACACGUGGAUAACCUACCUAUAAGACUGGGAUAACUUCGGGAAACCGGAGCUAAUACCGGAUAAUAUAUUGAACCGCAUGGUUCAAUAGUGAAAGACGGUUUUGCUGUCACUUAUAGAUGGAUCCGCGCCGCAUUAGCUAGUUGGUAAGGUAACGGCUUACCAAGGCAACGAUGCGUAGCCGACCUGAGAGGGUGAUCGGCCACACUGGAACUGAGACACGGUCCAGACUCCUAAGGGAGGCAGCAGUAGGGAAUCUUCCGCAAUGGGCGAAAGCCUGACGGAGCAACGCCGCGUGAGUGAUGAAGGUCUUCGGAUCGUAAAACUCUGUUAUGAGGGAAGAACAAAUGUGUAAGUAACUAUGCACGUCUUGACGGUACCGAAUCAGAAAGCCACGGCUAACUACGU
rnacentral:rRNA from 1 species